rnacentral:rRNA from 1 species
CACGUAGGCACCAAGCGUUAUCCGGAUUUAUUGGGCGUAAAGAGCUCGUAGGCGGUUCGGUAAGUCGGGUGUGAAAACUCUGGGCUCAACCCAGAGAGGCCACCCGAUACUGCUGUGACUAGAGUGCGGUAGGGGAGCGGGGAAUUCCUGGUGUAGCAGUGAAAUGCGUAGAUAUCAAGUGGAACACCAGUGGCGAAGGCGAGUCUCUGGACAUUUCCUGACGCUGAGGCACGAAAGCCAGGGGAGCAAACGGG